UAGGGAAUCUUCGGCAAUGGACGAAAGUCUGACCGAGCAACGCCGCGUGAGUGAAGAAGGUUUUCGGAUCGUAAAACUCUGUUGUUAGAGAAGAACAAGGACGUUAGUAACUGAACGUCCCCUGACGGUAUCUAACCAGAAAGCCACGGCUAACUACGUGCCAGCAGCCGCGGUAAUACGUAGGUGGCAAGCGUUGUCCGGAUUUAUUGGGCGUAAAGCGAGCGCAGGCGGUUUCUUAAGUCUGAUGUGAAAGCCCCCGGCUCAACCGGGGAGGGUCAUUGGAAACUGGGAGACUUGAGUGCAGAAGAGGAGAGUGGAAUUCCAUGUGUAGCGGUGAAAUGCGUAGAUAUAUGGAGGAACACCAGUGGCGAAGGCGGCUCUCUGGUCUGUAACUGACGCUGAGGCUCGAAAGAGUGGGGAGCAAACAGG
rnacentral:rRNA from 1 species